rnacentral:rRNA from 1 species
AUGAACGCUGGCGGCGUGCCUAAUACAUGCAAGUCGAGCGAACGGACGAGAAGCUUGCUUCUCUGAUGUUAGCGGCGGACGGGUGAGUAACACGUGGAUAACCUACCUAUAAGACUGGGAUAACUUCGGGAAACCGUAGCUAAUACCGGAUAAUAUUUUGAACCGCAUGGUUCAAAAGUGAAAGACGGUCUUGCUGUCACUUAUAGAUGGAUCCGCGCUGCAUUAGCUAGUUGGUAAGGUAACGGCUUACCAAGGCAACGAUGCAUAGCCGACCUGAGAGGGUGAUCGGCCACACUGGAACUGAGACACGGUCCAGGCUCCUACGGGAGGCAGCAGUAGGGAAUCUUCCGCAAUGGGCGAAAGCCUGACGGAGCAACGCCGCGUGAGUGAUGAAGGUCUUCGGAUCGUAAAACUCUGUUAUUAGGGAAGAACAUAUGUGUAAGUAACUGUGCACAUCUUGACGGUACCUAAUCAGAAAGCCACGGCUAACUACGUG